CGCGCCCUCCGCCAGCUGCAGCUCCGCAGGAGGCGGCUUCCCCCUCCCCGUGUCACGUGGUGACCUGCUCCGCGCCAUGGCCGCGAACAUUUGACCAGGGACACCGUCGCGCGAAGCUAGAACAGAACUAUACUCGGCCCUGCCGGCGACGGUGUGGCUAGCAACGGAUUCUGGGUUGAUAUUUGCGGCAACGGCGGUGGGCGCGGAAAGGGAAAGGCGGGGGAGGGGGAGUGCUGCAUGCCAGAGCCCGAGAUGGCAAGGCGGAGGAGGGCACUGACCAACCUGAUCCACGCCGGCAACCAGCAGCUGCUGCUCCUCCUCCUGCAGAGCACGGCCCUCCACUAGGAAAGCCAUCGGCUCCGUAUGUACGAUGCCUUCACCUUAGUUUGAGUACAUGGAUCUUGGAGAUUACCAAUUACCGUAGAUUUUUUUUCAUCUACACUAAGCUCAUCUUCCUCUACGGUAUCAACAACAGAAGUUUAAUUUAUAUUAGUAGUCCAAUAUCUAUCCAUAUCAUUCUUAUUUACUUAAUACAUUACACACCUGAUUAUAUACUGCUUCUAGCAGCAAGCAGACAUUAUCAAAUUCAUGAGUUGGAGAAUCCAGGUCAGUUACGUUAAAAAAAAAAAGAAUCCAGGUCAGAGGCCAUACAAAAGCCUUCAGCAUGCAAUUCGAGAUUACCCAAUAUGUGCAGAUUUAUGAGAGGUCGGUACUUUUUCCCCUCUCCAUAGGUUUUCUGUUGUCAAAUUUUCUUUGCUCCAAGUUAUGCAUAGUUUAUUGUUACCUCAAUACCCAGAGUCUCAGAAUAUAAAUAGAUUGGUUUAUGAAGUGAGAUCAGAUUUACAAUCUGCAAUCACAUUUUACCAACAAGCAAGAUUUGCUUUAGGCAUACUAUCAAAUUCCAAUUCAGAAAACAUAAAUGAUUUACUGAAAAACAUAAAUGAUUUACUGAAGUUACAAUGAACCUUGACCGGUCACUAUGCAAGGUACCAAGCAGCUAACACCAUGGUGUUUUGAUGACACUUCAAAAUGCCGAUCAGGCGGAUAUAUAUGCUUUUCUGUUGUCCAUAAGAACUCUGACGAUUGCAUUAGUGCAGGCUGGUCUUGCAACUGAUGCGGUCUGAGAGUAUGGAACGCUGAGAACUCAAGGCGAUGCAGGUAUUGCAGGGAGACUUCCAUUUUCAUCCCUGUAAGUUUUAAUAAGCAUGGCUAAUAAAUUUCCUGUCAUUUGCUACACCAAUUCACUUACUUUAGUGUGUGCACUAUUUUAAACUGCGACAAUCAGGGGUAAAGUUUGUGUAAAGGAGUAAGGACAUAUUAGAUUGUUCUCCUAGCUGAACUUGAAUGCUCUAUUUGUAGAUAAACAAGUCUGAGCAGUGCGAAAAUUUCACUCGGCACCUGGCAAUUUAACCUCACCCUUUACCUGUAUAUAUAUCAAAUGUUCCUUACAUGUAAACCAUAGUUUGCAUAAUGGAGCUGCUAUCUCUGUCCGCUUGGGUGCUUUCUUUGAUUUUGGUGUUUCUAGGAGUUGAGACCAUGUGUUACAAUGUGCAAUCAUGAGGUAAAUUCUAUCAAGAUACUGCUCAGUCUAAGCAUGCUUGCCACUUACACCGUUCAAGAGUAUGGUGAUGUCUCACUAAUCAUUUAGAAUUAUAGAAAUGAGAUAUAUAGUCAUCUUUAUGCGUGCAUCCAAUUUUAGAAAUGAGGGUGAUGAGAAACAAUUGACUUCGUCAGUUUACUGCAUACUUUGAGAAGUGUUGCCCUGCAGCUGCUCCCCGACAAGCUUGGUAAUAUUAUGACGCGCAAUGAGUUACUCAAGUCCUUUAUCAAUAUUCUCCGUCUCACUAACUACUUUUCUCACAGGGAACCUCGAGCAAUAGGAUUUCAUAUUCAUCGUAUUGAAUUCAUACAGUGACGACCAAUGUUGUAGUGAAAUUUGCAGGUUUCCAGUUUGUUCUGAGGGUGAUAAAAUCUUAAGCUACUAGCUACUCCCUCACUCAAAAUCAACAGAGAAAGCACUAGCUGUUCAAAGACAAGCUGAAUGUUAUAGUGAAAGGCUGUGUUUAGUUCAUGAAAAGUUUGAAUUUUGGUAUUGUAGCACAUUUUAUUGUUAUUUGACAAUUUGUUCAAUCAUGGACUAAUUAGGCUUAAAAAAUU